rnacentral:rRNA from 1 species
GAUCAUGGCUCAGGAUGAACGCUAGCGGCAGGCUUAACACAUGCAAGUCGAGGGGCAGCAUAAUGGUAGUAAUACUAUUGAUGGCGACCGGCGGACGGGUGCGUAACGCGUACGCAACCUACCCUUUACAGGGGGAUAACACUGAGAAAUCGGUACUAAUACCCCAUAAUAUUCCGGGAGGCAUCUUUCGGAGUUGAAAGCUUUGGUGGUAAAGGAUGGGCAUGCGUUGUAUUAGCUAGUUGGUAAGGUAACGG